CAGCAUUUUAAACUAUAAAUUCUCAUUUCUCUGCGUUUUGUUUCCGUUAUGAUGAUUAAAUUAAAAUAUCUCUCUCGAAGAAAACUAACUUCCUACUUGUCUGCAAUAGCAGACCAGAUCGUGUUUGGUUUCUGAAAAGGAUAAAAAUAAAAUAAAAUCUCUAGAUUUAUAAUCCGAUCUUUCCCUCCAAAUCAAGGAAUACCCAGCUUUUCUUGCCGCGAGGAAGUUCAUUUCUUUUUCAAGCACUGAGAACCGGACUUGAUGAGUGUGUCAAGAAGCUAUUUGUUGCUGGAUUUCAACUUGUAUAUUUGUGAUUCUGUACUUAGAAAAUCUCUACCAUAAUGCCAGUCCCCAUUCGGAGUGGAACUCCCAAAAAACCUAGUGAGAUGAUGAGGCUUUUCAUGACAACUUUUAUUGGAAUAAUUUUUGGCUUCUUCUUAGGAAUAUCCUUUCCAACGCUGUCCUUAUCUAAGAUGAAUCUCCCAUCCAGUUUGUUUCCUUCCAUUGAUCUUACAUAUAUUGAGGACAAAUACUCUGGUCUUUCAAAGCAAGCACUGUUCAAUGCUUGGUCUUCUCUAAAGGGUAACAAAGAGGCCUCUCCUUUACUUCCCAGAUACAACGAGACUGAGAUCUGGGUUCCAACAAAUCCUCGAGGUGCUGAAAGACUACCCCCUGGUAUAGUUGCUUCUGAAUCAGAUUUCUACCUCCGCCGACUUUGGGGUCUGCCUAGUGAGGACCUUACCAUCCAACCUAGAUAUCUUGUAACCUUUACUGUUGGCUAUGAUCAGAAAAAAAAUAUCGAUGCGGCAGUUAAAAAGUUCUCCGAGAACUUCACCAUUGUGUUGUUUCACUAUGAUGGACGGACAACUGAAUGGGAUGAGUUUGAGUGGUCAAAGCGAACUGUUCACAUCAGUGCUCACAAACAAACAAAGUGGUGGUAUGCCAAACGUUUUCUUCAUCCUGACAUUGUUGCUCCCUACGAUUAUAUUUUUCUCUGGGAUGAGGACCUUGGGGUGGAACAUUUUGAUGCAGAGAAAUACAUUAAACUGGUAAGGAAACAUGGUUUGGAGAUUUCACAGCCUGGUUUAGAUCCAGAUAGAGGAACAACAUGGGCAAUGACAAAGAGAAGAGAUGGCAUUGAAGUGCACAAGGACACUGAAGAGAGGCCUGGUUGGUGUACAGAUCCACAUUUGCCUCCAUGUGCAGCAUUUGUUGAGAUCAUGGCAACUGUAUUUUCUCGAGAUGCAUGGCGUUGUGUUUGGCACAUGAUUCAGAAUGACUUGGUUCAUGGUUGGGGUCUAGAUUUUGCUAUGAGGAAAUGUGUUGAGCCUGCUCAUGAGAAAAUAGGAGUUGUGGAUGCUCAGUGGAUCAUUCACCAAGGCGUUCCUUCACUCGGGAGCCAGGGGCAAGCACAGAAAGGAAAGGCACCGUGGGAAGGGGUGAGAGAGAGGUGUCGGAAAGAAUGGACAAUGUUUCAAGAUAGAAUGACUAAUGCAGAAAAUGUCUAUUAUAAGGCAAUGGAAAUGGAUCCUCCCAAUUCAACAGCUCGUUAGGGGGGGGGGGGGGGACAAUAAUGGCCCAAGAAACAUUUUAUAACUUACCAUGUCCAAUAUUUAUACUUAUGGAUGAGAGGGAUUCAUUCUGUUGUAGCGAUCACAUGAUUUGACUUCAUUUAAUGCUCCACAAAUACCUUUUGCUAAAUGAAGUUUUGAUCACAACGAUAAUUCCAUAGGAGUGAAGAGGGAAGGAAGAGUUGCCCAAUCCACGCCAUCGUGCACCUCCCAAGACACCAGAGCGUCACCUGCAUGCGCUGCCAGUGGUGGAGGCGCGUGAGACCCAUGCAUCGCCAUUGUUUCUGACGGUCCUAAAAUCUUUCAGUGUGCUUUCUAUGUAACAACCUGAAAUUUCCAUGCAACUUUCAUAUUUCUAACCAUCAUGUAUGAGUAUAAUGGGUAAUUUUUUUUUAGUAAUCUAUCUAACAAUACAUACCAUUAUUGAUUCUUUAGUUUACCAAAUUUACAAUAGUGUUCUCCCUAUA